CUCGAUUCCUCUUUCCAUUCCUGAAUUGCUCAAUUUAGAAUGUCACCCCCUGCUCCCCUUCAGCUGCAGUCAGCAGGCUUUUCUCCUAGCUCACAGAGCACAUGUUAGCUCAGUCCUCCUUCACCUAACUGGUUAACUCUUCACUCAUCUCAUCACUCGAGGUUCAGAACACUGACAUACCUUUGUCCCAGAUGAGAGAAAGAGAAACCUUAUAUUACCCCACCACAAGAUCAUUCAUCCUAUGCCCUUAAAGGGAUCUGUGGCCCUCCAUUCUAACUUGCCCCUGAGGUUAAUAGCUCCCAAGACACUCUUCUCUCUAGCAGAGACUACAUCAAAUGUUUUUAAGCAGACUCCCUUAGGCAGAUGAGCAACCGAUCUUGCAAAACAUCCCUUCUGGCUUUAAAGGGCCAGUAUCCCACUGCAGCAAACAUAGGAUUAGAUCGUGUUAUGCUCCGUAGCCAACCUCUGGAAGAACUAGAUGGUGCAAAAAGUAAAACAAUUGAAGACAUUCCAAGGAUGUACAGCGAGGCUUAGAAAUUCCAGCAAUAAACAAAACAGAAACAAGAUAAAUCUUAAAACGUGGUUGUAAAAGAAAAGACUGAGAGCUGGGACAUCACUGAGAAUAUCCCACAGUUUUAAUCUGCAGGGACAGCUGGGAUAUGACUGACACUGCAACACGAAUCCCACCUCCCGCCUUCCUUUCUUGUUCAUCAGACUGUAGUCCUACUCUGCUGUGCCACCUUGUGCUCACGAGCUGAUAAUACACUGCUCCAUGAAGGGCAGCCAUUCCUGCCUCAACUGAGUGAUGCUACACGAGCCAGUCUGCCCCAUACGACACAGCUAGAAAAAGGACACACGUGCAUUGGAAUGCUGUACUCUUAGAACCCUUUCUGUAUUCUCAUGAAGGCCAAGGUUGUCACAGAUGUUGUCAGAUUUUUUCAGUGAUCACAGGCAAAGUACUGAUUUCAUGGCAAUUCAGACCAUCACGGACACCUCUCACACUUUGCAUGACCUCCUGGCCUUGCCUUCUGGGCUCCCAAGUAGCACGUCCCAGCAGCACACACACGUUAUCCCAUUAACGACUCUGAUGGUGACCCUGAAUCUUACUUACCUCACUGUAAAGAGGAUGUUUCACCAGAGCAACAGGGCUUUGGUGAGAAUUUUCAGAGCAGACGACGCUUUAGAGAUCUUCAAACUCCACUACUUUAUGAGUUGAUGGAAAAAUACCUUCCUGAAGGCAGGACACACACUGCGAGCAUAGCAGAGUACUUGGAAAGAAAUCACAGCGAUUCCAGCAGAUGAGAAUGCCUUUGCACUUAGCAGCUUUUCAGAUCAUUUUUCCAGACACACGCUAAACCUCCUUGUUUUUUUUUUUUUCCAGGGAAUGGCAGAAUUCCAGUUAUGUGAGGAUUUUCAGGUGCCAAAGCUCUCAUUCUUGGCAGGCAUUCUGAAUGUCUGGGGCAUGGGAAAGAAAAUGUACUCUUAGGAGUGACAGAACUCGAGAGGCUACCCCCAGCUGGUCUGGCUUCAUCACUCCGGACAUACGAAGCCCAAUGACUUAAACAUAUCUAUUAUAUAAAAAUCGUGCAACGAGGCCCCCCUGAGGCCUCUAUAGCAGAGAUACGCAGAGAUUGCACUGCGGGGUCUGGAAGCUGAGCGAGCAGCCGCUUGGUGUCAGAGUUCUGCCGCCACUUUGUGUCCUGCAUGGCACCCUGCACCUCAGCAGCAGGAGCUGGCAGUGCUUCUGCAGCUUCCAGGCUCACUGCAGAGGGCUGGGUACGAAAUGGACUCACCGAUCCUUUUAACCCAUGGGAAAUCAGCCAUCGGGUCAAGGACUGCUGUGCUAGCCAGCCAAAUAGUGCCGCAAUGUACAUGUCUGAGAUUCGCAGAGGAUUAGGACUCUGCCUGCCUUGGGAAGUGUUCCUGAGGCUGACAGGGCCAUGGCUGCUCCCAGGCACUGGGAUGUGCCAUCACUCCAGGAGCUGGUUAUGAUGCUGCCUAGGAGAGCUGGUAGAGUGGUGGCACACAGAGGACCCCAAGCAUGAGGCAAUGAAGAAAAGGAUGAGCCUAUUCUUCCCGCAGACAAUUCCUGCUAAGGACCCACCUUAGGUGAUUGCUGAAGAACCCACUUGUAGAUAUGGAUGCAGCCCACCUCUACGUAUUAUACUGCAUGACAAAAUAACAAGGACGUUGCAUCAAUGUCAAAGUCAACGGGACUUUUCUCUAGAAAUCCCACCAGUGGUGUCACAGCAGUUGGUGAUGCCAGCCUGUCUAAGCAGUUAUUGCUUCCUGACAACUUCAUGCCCUUGAAACCAUGUUUGCAGAUGGAUGGUAAAUAAUACUCUUCUGAAAACAACAAAAAAGUAGGAUUUUGGAGUUAGUUGUGCCAUGACAAGAAGGUUUAAGAAAAACAGUGUAUUUCUGUCUUAUUUUGCCACAUGACAACAGAAAAUGUCACUAUAUUUUAAUACACAGAUAUAUGCAGAAUGAUCAUUCACUUGGAAAGUCAUUUUAAGGAAGUAUAAUUAUUUUUCAUUGCCAUAAUUGUUCUUGAAUUUUACAGAAAUGCUUUGUAUAUUUCAUGGCAACCGUUUCGUCACCUGAAAGCAACAGAGCUGUAGAUGGCACUCUCCAUUACUGUGGCAAGAUUUACUUCUUGGGGAAAGAUAUUCUGAAAAUACCCAAACAAAAUACCAGUAAGAAUAAUAUAGUAUGUCCUAUACUGUCCAAACACAUGCAUUUAUCAUGUAGCAGAAAUAGUGAACAUAAAUGGUGAACUAAAAAUGGGCGAAUUAACACAGAACUUAGUUGACCUUGUUUUAAAGGAGAGAAAACAGUCUGUUUAUGUCCCAGAAAACAGCUGCCUUCUUUUUCCAAGUGAUAAACCAGUCUGGAAGAACUGGGUAAGACACAUUAUUAACACAAGUUUCAUUUUUUUUUUGUAAAGACGUGGCUGGAGUCAGUUUGACAGCACAGUUAUUUUCAUACCCCACGUCUAAUCUGGUCUUGGCUGCCUUAUCCUCACACAUAAGUACCCAAGUGGCCUGCACAGAACAUUGUCCCCUAUGCAGGUGACCCCUUUCCUUUUGGAAUUACAAUGCUAUUCUCCCUGUCUUCAUUAACUUUGCUCACCAACUCUCUUCUUACAGAUGAUCAUACAGGAAAUAAUACAGAAAAUUAAGAUAAAUGAUGAAAAAAAUUGCACAGACAUUUAUAACUACAAGAUUUCAGAUAUGAAAUUUCUCAUCUCUUCCCUCUCCUGUUUUUACAAGAAUGGAAGCAGUGAGCAGUUAUGUGCACGUGUAACAUGAGAAUAAUAAUUAAGAAAGGAAAAUAACUAUGUACUAAAGACAGAUCUGAAAGAGGAAAACAGGGUUUUUCCCUCUCAUGGUUUACUAAAAUGUAGAAGAAUAUCCCGAGAAGGAUUAUUUUUAAAAUGCUAUUUUCUACUAAAGCCUUGACAUUGCUUCUUUAAUGCAGAGUUCACUCAAGUUUCAGAGGUUUUUGGAACUCCCAGCACUCAGAUGUAGACUUCAGUCCUGAAGUAUCAGGUACUUUAUUGUACUUAAUAAAACCCUACUUGCUGCUGUGAGUGAGCUGAACGCAUACUGCUUUAAGGAACCAGAGUGUAAAUCAUCUCAUACCAGCAAAAAUGUCUGGGAAAAAUGUAGGAAGAAAUAUCCCACAUACAUGCACUGCCAAGAUCUUCUGUUCCUUCCAAAAGCAGAGUAUGAUAUGGAGUUUGGGUACUCCAGACAAAGAUAAGUGAUGUGAACUUAGCAAAAAAUUCUACAGUAAUUCUCCUGUUCCACUUAAAAGGUAGAAUUGUUUUAAGUAGGUUGGGUUGUUUGGUGGCAAGAUAUCGUAAAUCCUUAUGAUGUGCAGGAAAUGCACAGGAUGUGUGACAGGGAUAUCUAAGAGAGAAUAAUGAUACAUAUUCCGACUUUUACAUAAUGGAAAGGAUAUAGAGCAGUGGGACUUUUGGAGGAUAAAACAUACGUGCGCACACCUUAUGUGUACACACCUAAAAAGAGGGUUCAUGCAUACUUGUCGAGGUCAAGAAUAGGGAAGAAAUGGGAAGCAUGUAUUGUUUAGAAAAAUCUGAGUAGCACAUGAAUAAAAUAUACCACACAUAUAUGAAUAUGUAAUUAUGAUACAUAUGCUAUGUUUAACAUAUUUUGUUAACUAUUUUUCAUAUAUCACAUUCAAUGUAUAUAUGCUUUAUGUAUUAUAUUUUAGUUACCAUGUGUAUUUUGGUUACAUUAUGUAUUAAAGUCACUUGGAUUCUAUGUUAUGUUUGGCCUCUAAUCAACAUCACUUUAUUGUUUUAUAAGACACUAACGGAUCACUAUUAUCCAGCACUGAAAAUUUACCAUUCAAUGAAAAAGGAUCUACUGCUUUGGAAGAGUUUAUGUAUUAUUUUAAAUCCCCAGCCUACAUCAGAGGCUUAUACAGGCACUAUCCUCUAAUUCUUUUCCUCUGCAACAUAACCUGGUACAUCAGCCAAUUAGCACUGGGAGAAUCUGAAUACUGAGAUCAGAAUACUAUGCACUCUAAUUUUAUCCUGAGGAAGUUAGGCGAUUAUCA
rnacentral:lncRNA from 1 species